GUAAGCCAGAAACAAGUUCACCAUCUGUAAUUUGAUACAGCCAAAUUGAAUGCCAUCCAUCUGAGAGCAAUGAGGUCAGGCUGUUUGAAGAAUGGGAGGCUCUGCCCUUGGGCUCAGUGUUUCAAAAAAAGAUUCAGGGACUCAGUGGCUAUUUUUAAAGCAUGUACUGGUGCAGAACAAAAGAUAUUUUCCAGGGAUGAAAAUUUCCCAUAGGAAGGAAUGUGCACGAUCCAGCAGACUAAAAUGACCUAGAGAAAAGGAUGGCACUAGUAAGAAGCAGCCAUAACUUGACCUGUCUCUUACAGAUGGGCCGUUCCUACAGACUGAAUGCAACCUCACCCAGGCAGAUAACAGAGGCAAGAAGGGAGAUUGUGACACCUACCUCCAGGUCUUUGGUAAUUGGGUGGGAAGGUCCAUGGGUUAUCAGGAGAAUGGCAUAGGCUUUACAGAUCAUGCUGUGUCCAGCUUCAAUGAGGCCAGCAUGCCAGUGGGUCACUCCUGCUCGCAUCACAGCCAUCCCCAGCUGUGCGUUGUUAGGAUGGUAUAUUUUCCUGGAAAAGCAUUGAGUAAUUUUAGUUCAGGAAAGAUCUCAAUUCCCAAAUGUUUGUCAGUGAUGUGACAUGUUUUCCAGAGAGCAAACUGUUUACUCAGUUGAAUAUUCUAUUGAAUUUGUUGCCAGGAAAUGUGCAGCCCCGCUAGGGGCAUGAGGGCAUGGGUUACACAAGGACACAAGGUGUUGUGAAAGAGAAUGAACAACCUGCAGACAGUGUGAGCUGAACAACUGGGUUGGAGACCUGAUCAUGCAGCCCAGAUGUCACCAACAUCACAGGUUGCACAAGAGCAGACCAGGUCCUGCAGCGAUGAUCUCUCUGUCCCACACUCAGGCUCUGUGCUUUGCUACUAGGGCAGCCCUGAGAUGCUUCUGAGCAAACCAAAGAGGCUAAUGAAAGAUAACCCAAACUACUUGUCAUUUACAGUUAAGUAAUUCAAGGUGUUUGAAAGCAUUUAGGAAUGGGUUCCUCUCUGUCUGGUGAUCAGAUCAAGAUCUGAAUGCCAGCACUUUCGUUCCGAUGGGAGCAGACUAAGAAAAUAACUUCUAUAACACAUUGCCUAACACUGCAUAACCAGAGAGAGCUGCCAAAAACAGAGCAGAGCCAUACAUGUAGCCAUCCACCAUCCUCUUGGCAUAUUCAGCUGCUUCCUCAAACAUCUGGAGGUAGGAGAGGACCUCAGAGGCAAUGCUGAGGAUCCUCAGGAGGUAGAUGUUUGUGUCUCCCAGCACAGGCUCCUGUUUCUUCAGGCAUUCACGGCACAGCUUCACAACCUACAUCAGAAAGCAGGGAGAAGGAGGAGAAAGUCAUAGCACCACCGGCCCUGAAGCUGCCACUCCUGAGCCUUGUGUGGUCCACACCAGUCCUAGAGGCCAAGUCAGACUGCAUGAAGCCUGGAGAAGAUACAAUAUGCUUUUAUAUGUCCAUAGCAUCAGUCUAACUAAAUGAUUUGUGCUCAAAUCUUCCUCUACCAGGGUUACUUUCAGAAAGUAAGCAAGGAAGAAGUGAUUAUGCCCCUCCUGCCAUCCACCCAACCUCCUAGAAGCACCUUGAUGCAAAGAAUGCUCCUAAUCUCCCUGUGAAGGUGAAGAUGUGAACAGUCCCAUUUCCACUUGCUUGUGUGUGUCAGCUUUUGUGAUCUGAACUGCCAAGAGGACAGGAUGUACGUGGAGACAUUAAGUUUGUGGAGAUGGAACUUUGUUUCACCUAUACAUCUUUGACUUAGGGGGGACAAGACCUAAUUUCCUUGGCACCACCUACACAGCAAGAGAGCAAGAGCACAGGGACUCACUUCAUGGUAAGUUCCCUCCAGGCGGGCCUUGUUGAUCUUCUCCAGCAUGUCCUUGGAGAACUGGAUAACUUCCUUCACUGUCUCUGCAGAAGGCUGGGGACAAAGUUAGGAAAAUUGGUGAGAAGUAUCCACCACCUGACAUCCAGGCACUAUACACAUCCAAGCAUGCCUGAUGAAACACUAACCAGCCCCUAAUUAGCCACCUCCUCUUCCUCCAUUUAUUGCUGAAAUAUAAUACAAUUAUAUUCAGUACCAUCACUUAUCCUCUGCUUUUCCAAGCUAUUUGAAUUUGCGUUUUCAAACAGUUCUAGCUAUCACAGCCUUCCUUUUGAUGAAUGGAAAAUCUGAAAUCAGGCCACAACUGCCUGGUUCUGGGAACUUGCAGGAAGAGCCUGGCCAGGAGAUACACGACCAAGAGAGAAUACAGGCACAUGGCCAACAGACAGCAGAGACGCAGAGAUGCAAUGAAGAAUGAAGAGACUGGGAUUUGUAGAGCAGGACAGCUCCACUGCCUUUUUACUUGGUUGAUGGGAUUUGUGAGGAGUCUGAGAUUUAACAAGCUCAGAAAAGCUCUUGAAAAUUUAGUAUGGAAGGAAAAACAGUUGCAUUUCAGAGCUACAUGUCCCAUAUGUACAUGGUUAUGUAUGUUAUGAAUUAUUAUUACAUAUUAUUAGACUGAAACUGUUACAGCUGGUCAGAUUUCAGCAGCUGUCUGAGCAGCACACAGGGUGUCCUAAUGGCAAGAGCACAUUCAUUCAAAGGCAAUGUUAAUGUCACUCUGCUGUCUGAGAAAAGACUCCCAGAACAGGCACUUCAGCAGCACUGCCACAGAAGCUUUAUCUAAUAAAAUUCUCUCCUGCGUUUACUAGACCCCUAAUCCUGUUGCCAUUAUAAACAAUGGGAGCUUUGCUACUAUUUGGAAGGGGUGAUGGACCAGAGGCCAGAGCGGCUGUUGAGGAUGUAAUCUGUCCAUCUCAUGUUUAUUCAUAGAGCUUUUUCCACACAGCUGUGAGUGCUGCUGCUGUCAGGCAAGCGAGCCUGAAUUCAGGGAAUGCAAUACAGCCGAUGUGCUCUGAGGGUGAGGUCAGCCUGGAUACUCAUUGUCUGUGGAUGGAGGGCAUUUAUAAUAGCUGAAAUCAUAUCUUGUAUAAAGAUACCAGGAGGCUUCUUCUAUGCCAGCAAUUCAAACAGGGGAGUGUAUAUCCCCCAAAGUGCACACAGCAGAACAUAUGGAGCGUUCACAAUACAGAGAUGGUGCGUGUCAAUGCUUGACAGCAGGCUUUGAAUAAGAGAUGAGAUUUUUUAUGCAGCCCACUGCAGGAGCAAUUUGAAAAUUCUUCUUCUGCAUCUGGGACUGGGAGCUUCAGUAGCCAGGAUUAGUUUUAAAAUGAAGCUUGAUAGUUUAGCAAUGGGAAUUAUUUAGCAAUAUCUUUUGCAACAAUUUAUCUUUUGUAGAGCUUACAGGAAUAGAAUGCCCCUUAGCUAACACUGACACAGAAGAAAAAUAGAUUUAAACAAUUAUAUCCUUGGGCACAGGAAUAAAAAAAAGAAGAUCUUAGAGCUAUCGACGUGCUCUGAAAAUAGGAGCUGCUGGCCAAGCAACACAUCCUAAUGCUGACAGCCAGACACAGCCUUACAUCCUUCUACUCGAUAACUUGUCAGAUUGCCCAGCAAAACACAGAGAACUGAAAAAUGAAUGGUCCAACACACUAAUUCUUCCCACCCAAGCAACCAGGCACAAAUGGCAGAGCAUAGAACAAAUUCAUUCUCACCAGCCAGUGCAAGGACGGCCUGAUGACUGGAUUCCCAGCUUCCCAGAGCCAACACAAUGGUACAUCUUUACAAACUGUACAGUGUACGUAGUGCCAGUUGGUCCUGUUCUCAUGGACUAUUAUAUGUAUAUACAUAAUAUAUGACACAGUAUUUUCUAUUCUGCUGUUGUUCAAAAUUUUGAUUCCAUUCAGUUCCUGUCAAAAAGUCCAAUCUAAAUACCUGGAUUUUUCUCAGUUCUAGACCUCAUUUUCUAAUAUUUUAUCAUUCUGCCUGUUGCUGGACUGUUAGGUUAGAGUUAAAGGCAACGUUUGUGGGCUUUUUAGAAAUGAAAACCUGUGUGCCUGUCAUAUAAUAGAGAUUAAACUGACCAUGCA